rnacentral:rRNA from 1 species
AGAUUGAACGCUGGCGGCAGGCCUAACACAUGCAAGUCGAGCGGUAGAGAGGUGCUUGCACCUCUUGAGAGCGGCGGACGGGUGAGUAAUGCCUAGGAAUCUGCCUAGUGGUGGGGGAUAACGUUCGGAAACGGACGCUAAUACCGCAUACGUCCUACGGGAGAAAGCGGGGGACCUUCGGGCCUCGCGCCAUUAGAUGAGCCUAGGUCGGAUUAGCUAGUUGGUGAGGUAAUGGCUCACCAAGGCGACGAUCCGUAACUGGUCUGAGAGGAUGAUCAGUCACACUGGAACUGAGACACGGUCCAGACUCCUACGGGGGGCAGCAGUGGGAAUAUUGGACAAUGGGCGAAAGCCUGAUCCAGCCAUGCCGCGUGUGUGAAGAAGGUCUCGGAUUGAAGCACUUUAGUGGAGAAGGUUGUAACUUAUACGUUGCAACUUUGACGUUACCGACAAAAUAAGACACCGGCUAACUUCGUGCCAGCAGCCGCGUAAU